GUUGCCCAGGUGGAGACGGCUCUGGACGCCUCCCAGGGGACAGUGGACGGCAGCACCUGCUGCAGCACGAGGCACAGAGGGUGCACUGCAGACAGGAGUGAGGGCAGAGGCCAAGGCGAGGAGGGGGCCGGCUCCCACUCUCUCUCCCACUGUGUGUGCUGUGCCUUCACGCUCCGAGCAUUGCCUUCCCUGGGAUCCUAACCCAAGGCGGGGGGCUGGACGCGCUGGACCCUCUCUUUGGCUUCCCUGACGUCUCUCGCCUGCUGCAGAAGCAGAGAUGCGGCCGAGUGUCUGGGCCGCAGUGGCCGCGGGGCUGUGGGUCCUGUGCACGGUGAUCGCAGAAGGCCCCCCGGCGCUGCCUGCUCUCGCACUACCGCUCGCUGGAGCCCCGGACGCUGGCGGCUGCCAAGGCGCUGAGGGACCGCUACGAGGAAGAGGCGCUGAGCUGGGGGCAGCGCAACUGCUCCUUCCGCCCCAGGAGGGAUCCUCCGCGGCCAUCGUCCUGCGCUCGGCUCCGCCACGUGGCCCGGGGCAUCGCGGACGCCCAGGCAGUGCUCAGCGGCCUGCACCGCUCGGAGCUGCUCCCCGGCGCCGGCCCGAUCCUGGAGCUGCUGGCGGCCGCGGGGAGGGAUGUGGCGGCCUGCCUUGAGCUGGCACGGCCAGGCUCCUCCAGGAAGGUCCCCGGGGCCCAGAAGAGGCGUCACAAACCCCGGAGAGCGGACUCGCCUCGGUGCCGCAAAGCCAGCGUGGUCUUCAACCUCCUGCGCCUGCUCACGUGGGAGCUCCGGCUGGCUGCACACUCUGGGCCUUGCCUCUGACCCCGCCCCCUCUGGCAGCACGGAAACCUCCACGCCAUUGGCUGCCGAAAGCAGCUCCUGUCGUCCAUUGGGCUGGCCGGGCGAGGCUCUCAGUCAAUGGGUGCUGAGGCACGAAAACUUCUUCGCAGCCUUGGGCCUGACUUGGAUCCACUGUCUCAGAUAUAAGAGGAGCGGGUCCUUCUACAGGGAAGAGACCACAGUUCUCCAGGAAGCCACGAUAUUUCCUCGGGGUGCAUUGUACGACCCUCCAACGGUUGCUGUGGCAGGAAAAAACUUGAGCUCUGGAAACCGUGGCUGACCCCAGGCAACAGGGACCAGUUCCUCCUUGUGUGGUUACCAGGACACCCCCAACACCAGGUCCUAACCCCGGAUUUGUAGCCCCACAGCCAGCUUUGAGAUUCUGUGAAUCCGUGACUCUUGGAUCCGGCAUCUAAGGGACACCAAUCCAUGAGGGAUUUGGUAGUGAAAGGCCCAAGGGUCCUUAACCGACUGUGGUUCUUUGGAUUCCCUUACGUGUGUUUGUAUUUGUGAAGUUCCUGUGCAUUUGCUAUUCUGUCUCCCGGUUUAAAUUUAUUGCCAGUUAUCAAAGAGUGUUUUGAUCGCAUUGGUUGUUUUCCGUAUGAUGAUUGUGAGGUGCACCUUACAGCAAAAAAAGAGGCCGAGCCAGGGACUCAGGUGGCCUGAGUUUCAGUUCUGACCCUGCCAGUUAAUUACAGUGGAAUUCAGGGCAAAUUACUUUUCUGAGCCUCUGUUUCCUCACCUAUAGGAUGGGUUAGCAUACUUGCCUUGUGGAGGAGUAGUGUCCGUUGAGAUCACGUU